rnacentral:piRNA from 1 species
UACAUAGUGUAAAGGCCCAUCCAGUGUGA